GACCUCAAAUCAGGUGGGACUACCCGCUGAACUUAAGCAUAUCAAUAAGCGGAGGAAAAGAAACUAACAAGGAUUCCCCUAGUAACUGCGAGUGAAGCGGGAAAAGCUCAAAUUUAAAAUCUGGCGGUCUUCUGGCCGUCCGAGUUGUAGUCUGGAGAAGCGUUUUCCGCGUUGGACCGUGUACAAGUUUCCUGGAACGGAGCGUCAUAGAGGGUGAGAAUCCCGUCUUUGACACGGAUCCCAAUGCUUUGUGAUGCGCUCUCAAAGAGUCGAGUUGUUUGGGAAUGCAGCUCAAAAUGGGUGGUGAAUUCCAUCUAAAGCUAAAUAUUGGCGAGAGACCGAUAGCGAACAAGUACCGUGAGGGAAAGAUGAAAAGCACUUUGGAAAGAGAGUUAAACAGUACGUGAAAUUGUUGAAAGGGAAACGCUUGAAGUCAGUCGCGUCGGCCGGGACUCAGCCUUGCAUCCGCUUGGUGUACUUUCCGGUCGACGGGCCA
rnacentral:rRNA from 1 species